rnacentral:rRNA from 1 species
GACGAACGCUGGCGGCGUGCUUAACACAUGCAAGUCGAACGGAAAGGCCCUGCUUUUGUGGGGUGCUCGAGUGGCGAACGGGUGAGUAACACGUGAGUAACCUGCCCUUGACUUUGGGAUAACUUCAGGAAACUGGGGCUAAUACCGGAUAGGAGCUCCUGCUGCAUGGUGGGGGUUGGAAAGUUUCGGCGGUUGGGGAUGGACUCGCGGCUUAUCAGCUUGUUGGUGGGGUAGUGGCUUACCAAGGCUUUGACGGGUAGCCGGCCUGAGAGGGUGACCGGCAACAUUGGACCUGGGAUACGGCCCAGCUUCUUCGGGGAGGCAGAGGUGGGGAAAAUUGACCAAUGGGCGAAAGCCUAAUGCGCAACCGCGGCGUGGGGGAGGCCGGCCUUCGGGUUGUAAACGGCUUUGCCCUUUGACGAAGCUUGGGUAAGGGUAAUGGGUAAAGAAGCACCGGCUAACUACGU